UUUAAUUGUAAUGACUUUGUUUUAUCCACAGUUAAGCCUUUUCUCAUUACAUAUUUAUGUAUUUCACUGUCAUGUCAACAUGUCUGCAGAAUCACUGUAUGUAACAAACAGCCAUAUUUAAGACAUGCCUGGAUAAAUAAAAUUGGUAGGAAUGUUUUCUUGCCAUUAUAUUUAACUUUUCUUCUUUUUCCUUGACAAAUCUUGAUAAGUUUUUUUAUAUUAGUUUUAUUUUCUAGAAAACGUCUUAUGAAUUUCUCCUAUUUGCUCUAGCAUGCUUACAGAAAAUGUCAGUGUUUCUUACAGCUCAAAUUUGUAUAGUUGUUUUAAAAUGCGGUCUCUUUCUUCUUCCCCUGAUACUUUUUUCUUUCUGUCUACUGAAGUUAGUUCUUAUACAUGGUCUUAUAUUUUGGCUGUCUCUUUUUACCUAGGAACAUUCAUACAGGUUGAAUAUUCCUUAUCUGAAAUACUUGGGACUGGAAGUGUUUUGGAUUUUGGAUUUUGGAAUACUUUUUUUUUUUUGGAGAUAGUGUUUUACUCUUGUUGCCCAGGCUGGAGUGCAAUGGCGCAAUCUUGGCUCGCUGCAACCUCCGCCUCCCGGGUACAAGCGAUUCUCCUGUUUCAGCCUCCCAAGUAGCUCGGAUUACAGGCAUGCACCACCACGCCUGGCUAAUUUUUUUGUAUUUAGUAGAGAUGGGUUUUCACCAUGUUAGCCAGGCUGGUUGUGAACUCCUGACCUCAGGUGAUCCACCUGCCUUGGCCUCCCAAAAUGCCGGGAUUACAGGUGGGCACCACCAUGCCCAGCCGGAUUUUGGAAUAUUUUCAUAACACUUACUGGUGAGCAUCCCUAAUCUGAAAAUCCUAAAUCUAAAAUGCUCCAAAAUUUGAAACUUUUUGAGCACCAGUAUGAUCCCCCAAGUGGAAAAUCCCACACCCGACCUCAUGCAAUGAGUCCAAACUGUUGUAUGCACAAAAUUAUUUAAAAUAUUGCAUAAAAUGACCUUCAGGCUAUGAAUAGAAGGUGUCUAUGAAACAUAAGUGAAUUUCGUGUUUAGACUUGGGUCGCAUCCCCCACAUAUCUCAUUUUAUAUAUGUGCAAGUAUUCUCAAAUCCAAACAUAUACAAAGUCUGAAACACUUCUGGUCCCAAGCAUUUUGAAUAAGGGAUGCUCAACCUGUAGUCUUUCUUUUAGGAGGGGGGGGAAAAAAGCUUUUUUUUUUUUUUGGUGACAGAGUCAUGCUGUUGUCACCUGGGCUGGAGUGCAGUGGUGCAAUCUGGGCUCACUGCCACCUCUGCCUCCCGGGUUCCAGCAAUUCUCCUGCCUCAGCCUCCCGAGUAGCUGAGAUUACAGACACCUGCCACUACGACGGGCUAAUUUUUGUAUUUUUAGUAGAGACUUGGUUUCACCAUGUUGGCCAGGCUGGUCUCAAACUCCUGACCUCAGGUGAUCCACCCGCCUCAGCCUCCCAAAGUGCUGGAAUUACAGGCACGAGCCACCGCGCCCAGCCCGUGUGUUUUUUUUUUUUUAAGUAAUUUGACGUGGCCCUGCUCUGAUUUGUAUUUAUUGUUUAUGGUUUGUGUAUUUCUUCUUCCUAUUGGACCACACAGAGUUGAAAAACAUUAUUUUUAAUAGAAAAUAAUAGGUGUAGGCUGGGCACGGUUGCUGACAUCUGUAAACCCAGCACUCUGGGAGGCCAAGUCGGGCUGAUCACUUGUGGUCAGGAGUUUGAGACCAGCCUGGCCAACAUGGUGAAAGCUCGCCUCUACUAAAAAUAGAAAAAUUAGCCAGGGGUGGUGGUGCACACCUGUAAUCCUAGCUACUUUGGAGGCUGAGGUAGGAGAAUUGCUUGAACCCAGGGAGUGGAGGUUGCAGUGAGCUGAGAUCACACCACCGCACUCCAGCCUGGGCUACAGAACCAGACUCUGUCUCAAAAGAAAAAAAAAGAAAGAAACAAAGAAAGAAAGUAAUGGAUGUAAUUAGGGAAUAAAGUUUUUAGGAGGAAGAAGGUAAAAUUUGAUGUUUGCGCUUCAAUGUGCUCCGUGUUGUUUGAUUGGAUUGCCUUGUAUAAUUCCAUAGCUGCUUCGCUUAUUACCAGUUACAGCUUAUGUUUGAAGUCACAAUAAACUCUUCUUCAAACAUGAAAGCUUGAUUUUUGAGGAAAAUUAUUCACAUUAUUUACAGAUUCAAAGAUGUUUAUGUCCUGUACUCUAGAAAUAAGGAGAAAGUGGGUGGGGAUGGGGCAGUCAGGUGGAAUGGAGUGUCUUGGCAGUGUAAAGGAAAAAGAUGGAUGGAAAAGGUGUAUAGUGGCAGGGUGUGCCUUUGUUUCCUUAUUGAACAGGGCACCUUGCCAUUUGCAGUAUAUGGAAAAUUGAAGAAAUACAGUCUACUUCCGCAAAAGGCACAUACAAAGGGCUCUGUUUAGACGAGAGAUCAGCAAACUAUGGUCCGUGGGACAAAUACAGCCCAGCACCUGUUUUUUGUUUGUUAUUUUAAGUGUAUAAUUCACUGAUUUUUAGUAUAUUCACAGAAGUGUACAACCAUCGCAACACUAGUGCCUGUUUUUGUAAAGAAAGUUCUCGUUGGGCUGGGCGCAGUGGUUCACGCCUGUAAUCCCUCGGGAGACCGAGACGGGCAGAUCACCCGAGCUCAGGAGUUCAAGACCAGCCUGGCCAACAUGUUGAAACCCUAUCUCUACUAAAAAAAUACAAAAGUUAGCAGGGCGUGGUGCUGGGCACCUGUAGUCCCCGCUACUUGGGAGACUGAGGCAGGGAGAAUUGCUUGAACCCCAGAGGUAGAGGUUGCAGUGAGCUGAGAUCGCCCCAUUGCACUCCAGCCUGGGCAACAGAGCGAGAGACUCCGACUGAAGAAAGUUUUCUUGGAACACAGGUACUGUCAUUCCUGUGUUUUGUAUGUGGCUGGUGUUUUGUUUUGAGAGAGAGAGUCUUAACUUUGUCAUCUAGGCUGGAGUGCAUUGGUAUGAUCUCGGGUCACUGCAACCUCUGCCUCCCAGGUUCAAGCGAUUCUCCUGCCUCAGCCUCCCGAGUAGCUGGGAUUACAAGUGUGCGCCACCAUGCCCAGCUAAUUUUUGUAAUUUUAGUAGAGAUGGGGUCCCGCUGUGUUGCCCAGGCUGGUUUCAAACUCCUGGGCUCAAGUGAUCUGCCCACCUUAGCCUCCCAAAGUGCUAGGAUUACAGGUGUGAGCCACAACACCUGACCUGUGGCUGUUUUCUUACUGUAGCGAUAGACGAGGAGUUGCUGCAUUGCAUAGAGAUGCUAUAUUGCACACAAAGGCUUUACUGACUUCACAAAAAAGUAUUUGUCCAAGGUGUAGUGUACUAGAUCCCUUCCAAUCUGUAAUUUUAAUUUAAAAAUGUCCAAAUAAAAAAAAAUGUCCAAAUACCCCUGUUUUGAAGGAUAAACUCUGUAUGCUUGUGCUUAUUUUGGAGAAGCCAUAAACUUACUUUGUUUUGUACAUGAUCAGAUGUGGGCGCUAUCUCCAACUGUCUUUGCACUUCUGAGUAAGAAUCUGAUGAUUGUGCACAGUGACCUGGCUGUUCACUUCCCUGCCAUUCAGUAUGCUGUGCUCUACACAUUGUAUUCUCAUUGUACCAGGCAUGAUCACUUUAUCUCUAGUAGCCUCAGUUCUUCCUCUCCUUCUUUGUUUGAUGGAGCUGUGAUUAGCACUGUAACUACGGCCACAAAGAAACAUUUCUCAAUUAUAUUAAAUCUUCUGCGAAUAUUACUUAAGAAAGAUAACCUUAACCAGGACACGAGGAAACUGUUAAUGACUUGGGCUUUGGAAGUAGCUGUUUUAAUGAAGAAGUCCGAAACAUAUGCAACUUUAUUCUGUCUUCCGUCUUUCCAUAAAUUUUGCAAAGGCCUUUUAGCCAACACUCUCGUUGAAGAUGUGAAUAUCUGUCUGCAGGCAUGCAGCAGUCUACAUGCUCUGUCCUCUUCCUUGCCAGAUGAUCUUUUACAGAGAUGUGUUGAUGUUUGCCGUGUUCAACUAGUGCACUGUGGAACUCAUAUUCGACAAGCAUUUGGAAAACUGUUGAAAUCAAUUCCUUUAGAUGUUGUCCUAAGCAAUAACAAUCACACAGAAAUUCAAGAAAUUUCUUUAGCAUUAAGAAGUCACAUGAGUAAAGCACCAAGUAAUACAUUCCACCCCCAAGAUUUCUCUGAUGUUAUUAGUUUUAUUUUGUAUGGGAACUCUCAUAGAACAGGGAAGGACAAUUGGUUGGAAAGACUGUUCUAUAGCUGCCAGAGACUGGAUAAGCAUGACCAGUCAACAAUUCCACGCAAUCUCCUGAAGACAGAUGCUAUCCUUUGGCAGUGGGCCAUAUGGGAAGCUGCACAAUUCACUGUUCUUUCUAAGCUGAGAACCCCACUGGGCAGAGCUCAAGACACCUUCCAGACAAUUGAAGGUAUCAUUCGAAGUCUCGCAGCUCACACAUUAAACCCUGAUCAGGAUGUUAGUCAGUGGACAACUGCAGACAAUGAUGAAGGCCAUGGUAACAACCAACUUAGACUUGUUCUUCUUCUGCAGUAUCUGGAAUAUCUGGAGAAAUUAAUGUAUAAUGCAUACGAGGGAUGUGCUAAUGCAUUAACUUCACCUCCCAAGGUCAUUAGAACUUUUUUCUAUACCAAUCGCCAAACUUGUCAGGACUGGCUAACGCGGAUUCGACUCUCCAUCAUGAGGGUAGGAUUGUUGGCAGGCCAGCCUGCAGUGACAGUGAGACAUGGCUUUGACUUGCUUAGAGAGAUGAAAACAACCAGCCUAUCUCAGGGGAAUGAAUUGGAAGUAACCAUUAUGAUGGUGGUAGAAGCACUAUGUGAACUUCAUUGUCCUGAAGCUAUACAGGGAAUUGCUGUCUGGUCAUCAUCUAUUGUUGGAAAAAAUCUUCUGUGGGUUAACUCAGUGGCUCAACAGGCUGAAGGGAGGUUUGAAAAGGCCUCUGUGGAGUACCAGGAACACCUGUGUGCCAUGACAGGUGUUGAUUGCUGCAUCUCCAGCUUUGACAAAUCGGUGCUCACCUUAGCCAAUGCUGGGUGUAACAGUGCCAGCCCGAAACAUUGUCUGAAUGGUGAAUCCAGAAAAACUGUGCUGUCCAAACCAACUGACUCUUCCCCUGAGGUUAUAAAUUAUUUAGGAAAUAAAGCAUGUGAGUGCUACAUCUCAAUUGCCGAUUGGGCUGCUGUGCAGGAAUGGCAGAACGCUAUCCAUGACUUGAAAAAGAGUACCAGUAGCACUUCCCUCAACCUGAAAGCUGACUUCAACUAUAUAAAAUCAUUAAGCAGCUUUGAGUCUGGAAAAUUUGUUGAAUGUACCGAGCAAUUAGAAUUACUCGGAGAAAUUAUCAGUCCUGGAAAUUAUCAGUUACCAGGAGAAAAUAUCAGUCUACUUGCUGGAGGAUCAAAAGAGAAAAUAGACAUGAAAAAACUGCUUCAUAACAUAUUAAGUCCAGAUCCAAGGGAACCUCAGAAAUCCAUUGAAGUUCCAUUGUUAAGAAGUUCUGUUUGUUUGGCAACUGCUUUAAACCCGAUAGAACAAGAUCAGAAGUGGCAGUCUAUAACUGAAAAUGUGGUAAAGUACUUGAAGCAAACAUCCCGCAUCGCUAUUGGACCUCUGAGACUUUCUACUUUAACAGUUUCACAGUCUUUGCCAGUUCUAAGUACCUUGCAGCUGUAUUGCUCAUCUGCUUUGGAGAACACAGUUUCUAACAGACUUUCAACAGAGGUUUCAGGCACAGAACUGUAUAUCCAAUAAUAGUGAAAUGGAUCCCACUAAUUAUGACCGAAAUGAUGAUACAUUUAAAUGACUUGGAUGUUUUAUAGGUUGGCAAUCAUCAUGAGCCCCUGUUCUCAUUCUGCAAAUGGUGAAGCUCUCUAUUGUCCUGACCCCACAGUUCCUGUUCCAUGAGCAGGGCCAGCUCACCAAGGAGCUGCAGCAGCACGUAAAGUCAGUGACAUGCCCAUGCGAGUACCUGAGGAAGAUGAUCCUACACCUGCCACCUCCGAUGGAUCCACUGCGUCUGUGCCUGCCUGUACUGCUGAUGCUCCAGUGGAUAACUCAGCAUCCCAGCCUAGGCCCAAUGCCCCUGAAGAUGGACCUGCCCCCUGGGGACCCAGGAGGCCUACCACUCAGCUGUCCCCAGGAGUGCCCAGACCCUCAUUGUUAUCCAGGACCUAGGAGCCCUACCCCUGGCCUUCCCUCAUCAGCCGUAAAUGAUGAUUUACUGCUGUUACCAUCAUCACUGCCUUCAGUGACCAAGGGCCUUCCAAGGUGCCAGCUCUGGAACGAAGGAUGCCCUUGGGAGGUGAUGACACUCAGGUACACGGGUGCUCAACAGAUUGCUUCCUCCUAUCCUCAGACGGUCUUUGCAUGCUUGCAGCCAUUGGCACUCCCAUUGUAUGGAAGGAAACCAGCCCAGGGUCACACAGCUGGUCAGCAGCAAAAUAGCUGGUCUCAAAUCUAAGGUGCCUGGCCAUGCCUCCAUGAGGGACCGCCUGCAAGGGAGGUUGAUCCUGGCUUUGGGGAGCCUUUCCUGGGCUGCAUGAAUAACCUCCAUUGUUCGAGACCCCAAACUCUGCUCACAUCUUCCUUUCCCUGUCUCUGCUUGGGCUAUGAUCACGGUGACUCUAGCAGCCCUUCAUGGACAUUAUACUACUCUCUGCCAUUCACUUUUGCUCUAAUCUGACUUCAACCCCCACUUACUUGGUCUCUCCUUUUACAACCAACACAACCGAAAUCUAGGGCUUUUUUUUUUUUUUUUUUUUUUUUUUUUGAGACAGACUCUCAUUCCAUUCUGUCACCCAGGCUGGAGUGCAAUGGUACGAUCUCGGCUCACUGCAACCUCCGCCUCCCGGGUCCAAGGGAUUGUCCUGCCUCAGCCUCUUGAGUAGCUGGGACUACAGGCAUGUGCCACCACGCCUGGGUGAUUUUUGUAUUUUUAGUAGAGACAGGGUUUAGUAGAGACCAUGGUGAAACCCCGUCUCUAUUAAACAAAUCUCUACUAACCCCAUCUCUACAAAAAACAGCUGGGCGUGGUAGUGCACACCUGUAAUUCCAGCUACUUGGGAGGCUGAGGCACGAGAAUCAUUUGCAUCUUGGAGGCAGAGUUUGCAGUGAGCUGACAUCGCACCACUGCACUCCAGCCGGGAUGACAGAGCAAGACCCUGUCUCAAAAAAAGGAAAAAGGAACAAACAACAGCAACGACAACAAAAAACCCUCUGUGUCAAUCACAGCCUUCAAGCUAGGGGAGAGGCGGCCGAAUUCUGCCCUCUGCUAACUAACUAUAUAGCUUUGUGGAAAUGGGUGAGUGGCAUGCCCUUUUGAGCCUCAGGGCCCCAUCUGUAAAAUGGGCAUAACCGUCAUGCCCGUCUUUAAGAACAGCCUUGGGGGUAAAUGAGUGGAACUCAUGGAAAGAUCUCAGCCCACAACCUUCCACAGAACAGGCGCUUCUCACACAGUAAGUAGCAGGAGUGCAGAGGCUGCAGGCAUGAAUCCAGCCAGACUGCCUGGGUUCAAGUCCCAGCUCCCACGUCUUGGUAACUAUGUGGCCUCAGACAAGUUACUUAAUAUUUCUUUUUUUUUUUCUUUUCAGAAGGAGUUUUGCUCUGUCACCCAGGUUGGAGUGCAGUGGUGUGAUCUCGGCUCAUUGCAACCUCUGCCUCCCGGGUUCAAGCAAUUCUCCUGCCUCAGCUUCCUGAGUAGCUGGAAUUACAGGCACCUGCCACCACACAAAGCUAAUUUUUGUAUUUUUAGUAGAGACGGGGUUUCACCAUGUUGGCCAGGAUGAUCUCGAACUCCUAACCUCAUGAUCCGCCUGCCUCAGCCUCCCAAAGUGCUGGGAUUACAGGCGUGAGCCACCAUGCCCAGCCAAAUCUAGGGCCAGAACGUGGCUGCAGCAUAUAAAAAGAAUUGAAUUCCAUACUUUUGUUAACCCUGUUUUUUGUUUGUUUGUAGUUGUUGCUGUUUUUGAGACAGAGUCUCGCUCUGUCGCCUAGGCUGGAGUGCAGUGGUGCAAUCUCGGCUCACUGCAGACUCUGCCUCCCGGGUUCAAACUAUUCUCCUGCCUCAGCCUCCCAAGUAGGUGGGACUACAGGUGCCCACCACCACACCCGGCUAAUUUUUGUGUUUUAUUAGAGACAGGGUUUCACCAUAUUGGCCAGGCUGGUCUGGAACUCCUGACCUUGUGAUCCGCCCACCUCGGCCUCCCAAAGUGCUGGGAUUACAGGCGUGAGCCACCACACCCAGCCCCUCUUUUGUUUUUGUUUUGCUUGCUUCUUAGGGUUGUUUUUCUAUUUAUGGUAAAGGCAUUGGCUUUCCAUUUGUAGCAUCAAUAGAAUAUUUCCUGUUUACAAUAACCUUAUGUCAUAGUAAAUGGUAAAGGGAUUUAAAGCAGUGGUUUUCAGCUGCCAGAGGCCUGAGAGAGUUUGGGCACACUCUGUGUGAUCGGGCAGAAGGCCUGUGGGAAGUUUAGCAGAGGACAGGGCCAGGAAAGGUGAUGGACAGUGGGGGUCUGUCCUGGUCACCAGGCCCCUGGGUCCUGCCCACCUGCUUGGAGCUCCCCACCCAUCACACAUGAUGCUGCCAAGCCCUCUGGGUAUUGUGGGCAAAUACCUUAGGAGAGAAGCUGAUGAACUUUGUUUCUUGAAAUGCACAGAUUCCUUGGACAUCCCUGAGAGAUCAGUCAUGAAAGUCAACUUGGUUUUCUCCCCCUCAUUUGGGUUCAGAAUUUAAAGUCCACACACACAGGCAGUAAGAUGAUAUAGAUAAGGACAUCAUCACUCGGUUUCGGAUGUUAAAAUGUCUAGGUGGGUUAGGGGUGAUUUGCGAUCACACAACCUUGUGGCACAAAGAGGAAUUCCCAGGCCAGAGGGAGACAUUUUAUUGCCAUGUUACGAUCUUAUCAUUGAGUUGAAAGGCAAUCUUCUUUCAUUUUGGAUUCUUUCAUAUGUUUAUGUCUUCUAAGGGCACUUUGAAUUUCCAAGCAAAUAAUAAUUUUGAAUUAGCUUUUAAUCAUUGACUUCUAGCACAGUUAUAUGAUCAGAAACAUGCUGUGUGAUUUGAUUGCUCUCAAAUAUAUUGAGAUUUGUUGGAACAAAAUAAGUCAGGUUAAUUUUUGUAAAUGUACCAUGCAUGCUUAAAAUGAAUGUAUCUACAUUUGUUCCUGAG